CGGGUGAGUAACACGUGAGAAACCUGCCCCGAAGUCUGGGAUAACUCGAGGAAACUCGAGCUAAUACCGGAUACCUUCCAUUGAUCGCAUGGUCGUUGGAAGAAAGAUUCAUUGCUUCGGGAGGGUCUCGCGGCCUAUCAGCUUGUUGGCGGGGUAACGGCCCACCAAGGCGUCGACGGGUAGCUGGUCUGAGAGGACGAUCAGCCACACUGGGACUGAGACACGGCCCAG
rnacentral:rRNA from 1 species